UGGGGAAUAUUGCACAAUGGGCGAAAGCCUGAUGCAGCAACGCCGCGUGAGCGAUGAAGGCCUUUGGGUCGUAAAGCUCUGUCCUUGGGGAAGAAAAAAAUGACGGUACCCUUGGAGGAAGCCCCGGCUAACUACGUGCCAGCAGCCGCGGUAAUACGUAGGGGGCAAGCGUUAUCCGGAAUUAUUUGGCGUAAAGAGUGCGUAGGUGGUUUUGUAAGCGCGGGGUGAAAGGCAAUGGCUCAACUAUUGUAAGCCCUGCGAACUGUGAGACUUGAGUGCAGGAGAGGAAAGCGGAAUUCCUAGUGUAGCGGUGAAAUGCGUAGAUAUUAGGAGGAACACCAGUGGCGAAGGCGGCUUUCUGGACUGUAACUGACACUGAGGCACGAAAGCGUGGGGAUCAAACA
rnacentral:rRNA from 1 species